rnacentral:rRNA from 1 species
UACGUAGGUGACAAGCGUUGUCCGGAUUUACUGGGCGUAAAGAGCGCGCAGGCGGUCGAUCAAGUCGAGUGUGAAAGCCCCCGGCUCAACUGGGGAGGGUCAUUCGAUACUGAUCGACUCGAAGGCAGGAGAGGGUAGUGGAAUUCCCGGUGUAGUGGUGAAAUGCGUAGAUAUCGGAAGGAACACCGGUGGCGAAAGCGGCGCUCUGGUCCUCUUCUGACGCUGAGGCGCGAAAGCCAGGGGAGCAAACGGG